rnacentral:rRNA from 1 species
UACGUAGGGGACAAGCGUUAUCCGGAUUUACUGGGUGUAAAGGGAGCGUAGACGGCAGCGCAAGUCUGGAGUGAAAUCCCAUGGCUUAACCAUGGAACUGCUUUGGAAACUGUGCAGCUGGAGUGCAGGAGAGGUAAGCGGAAUUCCUAGUGUAGCGGUGAAAUGCGUAGAUAUUAGGAGGAACACCAGUGGCGAAGGCGGCCUGCUGGACGGUGACUGACGCUGAGGCACGAAAGCGUGGGUAUCGAACAGG